AGAGUUUGAUUAUGGCUCAGGAUGAACGCUAGCGGCAGGCUUAACACAUGCAAGUCGGGCGGCAGCGGGGUGGGAGCUUGCUCCCACUGCCGGCGAGCGGCGCACGGGUGAGUAACACGUAUGCAACCUGCCCCUGUCAGGGGGACAACCCGCCGAAAGGCGGGCUAAGCCCGCGUAUAUCGCCCCGGGGCAUCCCGGGGGGAGGAAAGGAGCGAUCCGGACAGGGAUGGGCAUGCGGCGCAUUAGCUGGUCGGCGGGGUAACGGCCCACCGAGGCGACGAUGCGUAGGGGUUCUGAGAGGAAGGCCCCCCACACUGGUACUGAGACACGGACCAGACUCCUACGGGAGGCAGCAGUGAGGAAUAUUGGUCAAUGGGCGGGAGCCUGAACCAGCCAAGCCGCGUGAGGGAAGAAGGUACAGCGUAUCGUAAACCUCUUUUGUCAGGGAACAAAGGCGGGGACUAGUCCCCGGAUGAGGGUACCUGAAGAAAAAGCAUCGGCUAACUCCGUGCCAGCAGCCGCGGUAAUACGGAGGAUGCGAGCGUUAUCCGGAUUUAUUGGGUUUAAAGGGUGCGCAGGCGGCCUGUUAAGUCAGCGGUAAAAGCCCGGGGCUCAACCCCG
rnacentral:rRNA from 1 species